GUGAGCUAGGAAGAGGAAUAAAUAGUCUAAGAGCCUUGAGAAUGGAAACACAGAGGAAACCCUGAGCUAUCCGUCUGCGCCUCUAGAACCAGAGGUGUAUAUCUGUCUUAGUGUUUCCCAAUGCCUCCCAUUCCUAUUGUUCUUAAGUUCUCCUUCCCCUUCAUUUUAUCU
rfam:Triticum aestivum genome assembly, contig: Triticum_aestivum_CS42_TGACv1_scaffold_456500_5DS